rnacentral:rRNA from 1 species
CCUACGGGAGGCAGCAGUGGGGGAUAUUGCACAAUGGGGGGAACCCUGAUGCAGCGACGCCGCGUGGGUGAAGAAGCGCCUCGGCGCGUAAAGCCCUGUCAGCAGGGAAGAAAAUGACGGUACCUGAAGAAGAAGCCCCGGCUAACUACGUGCCAGCAGCCGCGGUAAUACGUAGGGGGCAAGCGUUAUCCGGAUGUACGGGGUGGAAAGGGGGCGCAGACGGCGAUGCAAGCCAGGAGUGAAAGCCCGGGGCCCAACCCCGGGACUGCUCUUGGAACUGCGUGGCUGGAGUGCAGGAGGGGCAGGCGGAAUUCCUGGUGUAGCGGUGAAAUGCGUAGAUAUCAGGAGGAACACCGGUGGCGAAGGCGGCCUGCUGGACUGCAACUGACGUUGAGGCCCGAAAGCGUGGGGAGCAAACAGGAUUAGAUACCCUAGUAGUC